rnacentral:rRNA from 1 species
UCAGGAUGAACGCUGGCGGCGUGCCUAACACAUGCAAGUCGAACGAAGCAUACGGACCGGAGAUUCGUCGAAGGACUGUAUGACUUAGUGGCGGACGGGUGAGUAAUGUAUGAGCAACCUGCCUUUCAGAGGGGGACAACAGUUGGAAACGACUGCUAAUACCGCGUAACGUAUCGUGGGGGCAUCCUCGUGAUACCAAAGGAGCAAUCCGCUGAAAGAUGGGCUCAUAUCUGAUUAGCUUGUUGGCGGGGUAACGGCCCACCAAGGCGACGAUCAGUAGCCGGACUGAGAGGUUGAACGGCCACAUUGGGACUGAGAUACGGCCCAGACUCCUACGGGAGGCAGCAGUGGGGAAUAUUGGGCAAUGGGCGAAAGCCCUGACCCAGCAACGCCGCGUGAAGGAAGAAGGUCUUCGGAUUGUAAACUUCUUUUAUGAGGGACGAAGGACGUGACGGUACCUCAUGAAUAAGCCACGGCUAACUACGUGCCAGCCGCCGC